GACGUAGGGCGCGAGCGUUGUCCGGAUUAUUGGGCGUAAAGAGCUCGUAGGCGGCUUGUCGCGUCGACUGUGAAAACCCGAGGCUCAACUUCGGGCUUGCAGUCGAUACGGGCAGGCUAGAGUUCGGUAGGGGAGACUGGAAUUCCUGGUGUAGCGGUGAAAUGCGCAGAUAUCAGGAGGAACACCGAUGGGCGAAGGCAGGUCUCUGGGCCGAUACUGACGCUGAGGAGCGAAAGCGUGGGGAGCAAACAGG
rnacentral:rRNA from 1 species